rnacentral:rRNA from 1 species
AACGAACGCUGGUGGCAUGCCUAACACAUGCAAGUCGAACGAGAUCUUCGGGUCUAGUGGCGCACGGGUGCGUAACGCGUGGGAAUCUGCCCUUUGGUUCGGAAUAACAGUUGGAAACGACUGCUAAUACCGGAUGAUGACGAAAGUCCAAAGAUUUAUCGCCAGAGGAUGAGCCCGCGUAGGAUUAGCUAGUUGGUGUGAUAAAGGCGCACCAAGGCGACGAUCCUUAGCUGGUCUGAGGGGAUGAUCAGCCACACUGGGACUGAGACACGGCCCAGACUCCUACGGGAGGCAGCAGUGGGGAAUAUUGGACAAUGGGCGAAAGCCUGAUCCAGCAAUGCCGCGUGAGUGAUGAAGGCCUUAGGGUUGUAAAGCUCUUUUACCCGGGAUGAUAAUGACAGUACCGGGAGAAUAAGCUCCGGCUAACUCCGUGCCAGCCGCCGCCGUAA